rnacentral:rRNA from 1 species
AGAGUUUGAUCAUGGCUCAGAUUGAACGCUGGCGGCAGGCCUAACACAUGCAAGUCGAACGGUAACAUUUCUAGCUUGCUAGAAGAUGACGAGUGGCGGACGGGUGAGUAAUGCUUGGGAACUUGCCUUUGCGAGGGGGAUAACAGUUGGAAACGACUGCUAAUACCGCAUAACGUCUACGGACCAAACGGGGCUUAGGCUCCGGCGCAAAGAGAGGCCCAAGUGAGAUUAGCUAGUUGGUAAGGUAAAGGCUUACCAAGGCAACAAUCUCUAGCUGUUCUGAGAGGAAGAUCAGCCACACUGGAACUGAGACACGGUCCAGACUCCUACCGGAAGCAGCAGUGGGGAAUAUUGCACAAUGGGGG